rnacentral:rRNA from 1 species
CCUAAGAGAAACUAGUUGUUGUGAGGCUAGACCUUGCAGUAAUGCAGUUAACACAUUAAGUCCCUCUUGCCUGGGGAGCACGGUCGCAAGAUUAAAACUCAUAGGAAUAGACGGGGACCCGCACUAGCGGUGGAGCAUGUGGUUUAAUUCGACGAUACACAAAGAACCUUACCUGGACCUGACAUAGUAAGAACUUUCUAGAGAUAGAUUGGUGUCCGCUUGCAGAAACUUAUAUACAGGUGCUGCACGGCUGUCGUCAGAUCGUGUCGAGAGACGUUGGGUUAAGUUCCGCAACCAGCGCAACCCUCGGCAUUAGUUGCUAACAGUUCGUCUGAGAACUCUAAUGAUACUGCCUACGCAAGUAAGAGGAAGGUGAGGACCACGUCAAGUCAUCAUGGCCCUUACUUCCAGGGCUACACACGUGCUACAAUGGGGUAUACACAAAGCUGCAAUACUGUGACGUGGAGCAAAUCUUAUAAAAUAUCUCCCAGUUCGGAUUGUAGUCUGCAACUCUACUACAUGAAGUUGGAAUCGCUAGUAAUCGUAUAUCAGCUAUGCUACGGUGAAUACGUUCCCGGGUCUUGUACUCACCGCCCGUCACACCAUGGGAGCUGAACUCAUUCGAAGCUGGGAUGCUUAAGUAGCUACCUUCCACAGUGGAUUCAGCGACAGGGGUGAAGUCAUAAC